UACAGAGGUGGCAAGCGUUGUUCGGAAUUACUGGGCGUAAAGGGCGCGUAGGUGGCCUUUUCAGUCAGACGUGAAAUCCCCAGGCUUAACCUGGGAACUGCAUCCGAUACUGGAUGGCUUGAAUUCGGGAGAGGGAUGCAGAAUUCCAGGUGUAGCGGUGAAAUGCGUAGAUAUCUGGAGGAAUACCGGUGGCGAAGGCGGCAUCCUGGACCGACAUUGACGCUGAACGGCGAAAGCUAGGGGAGCAAACGGG
rnacentral:rRNA from 1 species